AGAUAGGAUGAUCCGUUCGGUGGA
rnacentral:siRNA from 1 species